rnacentral:rRNA from 1 species
AUUGAACGCUGGCGGCAGGCCUAACACAUGCAAGUCGAACGAGUGGCGGACGGGUGAGUAAUGUCUGGGAAACUGCCUGAUGGAGGGGGAUAACUACUGGAAACGGUAGCUAAUACCGCAUACCAUCAGAUGUGCCCAGAUGGGAUUAGCUUGUUGGUGGGGUAAAGGCUCACCAAGUCGACGAUCCCUCGCUGGUCUGAGAGGAUGACCAGCCACACGGGAACUGAGACACGGUCCAGACGCCUACGGGAGGCAGCAGUGGGGAAUAUGGCACAAUGGGCGCAAGCCUGAUGCAGCCAUGCCGCGUGAAUGAAGAAGGCCUUCGGGUUGUAAAGUACUUUCGGCGGGGAGGCGGUACCCGCAGAAGAAGCACCGGCUAACACCGAGCCAGCAGCCGCGGAAAUUC